CACGUUCAUCUGGCACGAGUAAAAGUAGGUCAGACGGAAGUAGGCAGAUAAAAAUACAUCUCUUCAAAAAGAGAGGUUCGCAUCAAGCGUCCGCUUGUUGCAUUAAACAAUCUACCGAAGGAACGCAUU
rnacentral:ncRNA from 2 species